GACGUACGCUGGCGGCGUGCUUAACACAUGCAAGUCGAACGAUGAUGCCCAGCUUGCUGGGUGGAUUAGUGGCGAACGGGUGAGUAACACGUGAGUAACCUGCCCCUGACUCUGGGAUAAGCGUUGGAAACGACGUCUAAUACUGGAUAUGACUACCGGCCGCAUGGCCUGGUGGUGGAAAGAUUUUUUGGUUGGGGAUGGACUCGCGGCCUAUCAGUUGGUUGGGGGGGUAAUGGCACACCAAGGCGACGCCGGGUAGCCGGCAGGCGAGGGUGACCGGCCCCACGGGAACGGGGACCCGCCCCAGACUCCUACGGGAGGCAGCAGUGGGGAAUAUUGCACAAUGGGCGAAAGCCUGAUGCAGCAACGCCGCGUGGGGGAUGACGGCCUUCGGUUUGUAAACCUCUUUUAGUAGGGAAGAAGCGAAAGUGCCGGUACCUGCAGAAAAAGCACCGGCUAACUACGUGCCAGCCGCCGCGGUAA
rnacentral:rRNA from 1 species